AGUGAACGCUGGCGGUAGGCCUAACACAUGCAAGUCGAACGGCAGCACAGUAAGAGCUUGCUCUUACGGGUGGCGAGUGGCGGACGGGUGAGGAAUACAUCGGAAUCUACUUUUUCGUGGGGGAUAACGUAGGGAAACUUACGCUAAUACCGCAUACGACCUACGGGUGAAAGCAGGGGAUCUUCGGACCUUGCGCGAUUGAAUGAGCCGAUGUCGGAUUAGCUAGUUGGCGGGGUAAAGGCCCACCAAGGCGACGAUCCGUAGCUGGUCUGAGAGGAUGAGCAGCCACACUGGAACUUAGACACGGUCCAGACUCCUACGGGAGGCAGCAGUGGGGAAUAUUGGACAAGGGGCGCAAGCCUGAUCCAGCCAUACCGCGUGGGUGAAGAAGGCCUUCGGGUUGUAAAGCCCUUUUGUUGGGAAAGAAAAGCAGCAGGUUAAUACCCCGCUGUUCUGACGGUACCCAAAGAAUAAGCACCGGCUAACUUCGUG
rnacentral:rRNA from 1 species